AUUGAACGCUGGCGGCAGGCCUAACACAUGCAAGUCGAGCGAGCGGCGGACGGGUGAGUAAUGCCUAGGAAUCUGCCUGGUAGUGGGGGAUAACUACUGGAAACGGAAGCUAAUACCGCAUACCAUCAGAUGAACCCAUAUGGGAUUGGCUUGUAGGUGAGGUAAGGGCUAACCUAGGCGACGAUCCCUAGCUGGUCUGAGAGGAUGAUCAGCCACACUGGGACGGAUACACGGCCCAGACUCCUACGGGAGGCAGCAGUGGGGAAUAUUGCACAAUGGGCGCAAGCCUGAUGCAGCCAUGCCGCGUGUAUGAAGAAGGCCUUCGGGUUGUAAAGUACUUUCAGUCGGGAGGCGUUACCGACAGAAGAAGCACCGGCUAACUCCGUGCCAGCAGCCGCGGUAAUUC
rnacentral:rRNA from 1 species